rnacentral:rRNA from 1 species
CAUCAGUAAUGAUGGGUAGGGGAGCUUCCCAUACGGGUUGAAGCAUGACCGUAAGGACAUGUGGGUGCGCAGCCCACAGGCCGUAAACCCAAGGCUUCCAGGGGAAGGUUCGUCCGCCCUGGGUUAGUCGGGACCUAAGCUGAGGCCGAAGUUCGUCCGCCCUGGGUUAGUCGGGACCUAAGCUGAGGCCGAAAGGCGUAGGUGAUGGACAACAGGUUGAUAUUCCUGUACUACCGAUAACC